UACGUAGGCAGCAAGCGUUGUUCGGAAUUACUGGGCGUAAAGAGUGUGUAGGCGGUGCUCUAAGUUUGGUGUGAAAUCUCCCGGCUCAACCGGGAGGCUGCAUCGAAUACUGGAAUGCUAGAGGGUGGGAGAGGUAAGCGGAAUUCCUGGUGUAGCGGUGAAAUGCGUAGGAUAUCAGGAGGAACACCUGUGGUGUAGACAGCUUACUGGACCACUUCUGACGCUGAGACACGAAAGCGUGGGUAGCAAACAGG
rnacentral:rRNA from 1 species